AAUGACAGAACAGGGGACAGGAAACAUUAAGUAAUAACACAAACAAACAAAAAAUUAUUACGAUGAUUACAUCAUCAUCAGUCAAACAAAUGGAAUAGUACAGAAAAUCCAUAUUGUUUAGCAUAGGUUUUGCUUGCCAAAAAGACUGAAAAAAAUAUAAUUGUGGAGCAAUUUUAUUUCAAUUUCAGUUAUUAUAAUUAUUUCUUGCAGGUUAAUCCAAAGGAACCUGACGCAAGAAUAAAACACAUUUUAUACUUCAACUAUGUUACUUUUCAAAGAGUCAUAUUUUAGGAACUCGCAAGGGACGUAGAUAAAACCGGUUUUGGUUGGAAGGUGAAAUCUUCGUUUUCUGCAGCGGUCACAAACCAGUGUGACACGCUAAUACUCUUUGGUCUAUGGCGGAAUGUUCGGAUGGAGAUUUCG